AUGGAGCCCAACAUCAUCCCGGCCUACGGCUGCGCCAAGCUCCACGCCGCCCCGCCUGAUUACCCCUGCGUCGCCCGCCUCCGCCACCGCCGCCUCCUCUCCUUCCUCUGGCUCCACUCCUUCAAAUCCACCUUCGAAGCGAUGGCGGAGGAGACGAAGGUGCUACUGUCGCUGCCGCGGCUGGAGCGGCUCAUCGCCCGCGGCAUGUGGGGCGAGGCCAUCGGCUACGCCUGCCGCUUCCUGCCGCGGCGGCCGCCGUCGCUGCCCGCGCAGCGGACGCACCUCACCGCGGAGGCCCAGACCCUCCUCCAAUUCCUCCACAUGCACAGGUGCUUCGCCGACGUCGUCGCCGGCAACGAGACCGGCGCCGCCUGGUCCGACAAGCACCGCCGCCGCUAUUGCCUCGCCCGUGUUACCGGCAUCUCCUCCCACGCCAUCGCCAUCCGCCGCAUUAUCCAAACCUUCGUCCUGUCGGACAAGAUCAGGGAGUCCAUGGAUUGGGGACGCGUGAGAGAGAAAGUGGUGCGGGUCGUCCGACGCUUGGUUCACGACACUCCAGAGCUCGCCGGAUUCUUGGACUUGCCGGGCGGCAUGGUGAAGCCGCAUAACGUGCUCCCCAUUGGCUUCGGUUUCCGAUCCAAGCGUCACGUGAGACAACAAAGACGGCCGCGAGCAUAUACUAUUGCCCAGCUCUAUCUUGAGAUGAAGAGAUGUGUGCCUUCUUCAGGCCAGCCUGAUCAGGGGUUAAGUCUGGAUUCAAGCUUACGUGCUGGCUGUGAGUCUUCAGAACACCAUCAAUGGCGGUAUCCACUUCGAUCAAGUGAGAAGAAAGGUGCUCCGGUUGCUGCAAUCACUCAGACUAUGUUUAGCACCAUAAAAACUGAUAGUGAAAAUUCUGGGACUGCUUCAGCGACAAAAAAGGGCGUUCUUGACAGUAUAGUCUUGCAGACUAAGUUUGGCAACAUGACAAGUCCUGAAAAAAACUAUGGGUUCUCAUCAUUGACAAAUGCAGGCACAUAUAUGCAUUCGAGUCAAGAAGAUUGCCACACUGAGAAUUAUUGCCAGGGUUUCAUUCCAAGGAAACAUCAAAGGGAAGAACUAGCACCUGAGGAAGAUAUUGACCCUAAAAGGCAACACACAACUCUGACUUUUGGUGAAGCAAGUGCGUACCUGAGCGCGCGCCGACUGGGCUGCGUCGGGUACAUUACAAUUUAUUACAAACACGGCGGAAGCUGCAGCCGGUGGCCGCCGCGUGUAAUCCCUUCGCGGAUGAACAAGAGGACAUGUUUGGUGUUCCAUGCAUGUGAUGUGAGCGAUCUGGUGGACCUUGUGGAGACGACGUACAGGCCAGUUGCUGAAGGCGGGUUCGCCCCGCCGAUCGAGGCCAUGACCCGGCCUCGAUCGAUCGGGAGGUUCAUUGACCAGCUCAUGGUCCGGCGGCUGGUUCACGCGCAUCCUCGCCGCCGACCACCGGAGCUUCUCCAAAGCUCUACCCUUACAGCUGCGUCGUCCUCGCUGGCCACUUCCUCGAGGCAGCCAAGAACAUGGGGUGGCACCCAGUCACGGGUGGAGCGGCGCCGACGAGGGUGUUGGAGGAGGUCGGCAAGCGAGCGGGUGAAUCAGUGGGUGACGCGGAGCGCAUCGCGGAGGACGGAGUCGAAGACGCCGACGGAGAGCAUGGCGCCGAGGGCGUCGUCGCCGCCGGCCCCGGGGGGAGGCGCCAGGGCGCGGUUGAGCCUCGAGGGCCGCCGUGAGCGCGCCCCUGCCGCCGCCAAUGCCGGGCAGAUGUGGAACGCCGCCUGGAAUGACGAUGCGGUCGCGAGCGCACCUGAGCGUGGUCGGCGAGCUAGCUUGUUCGCGCAGGAUCGGCGGCCACCGCGCGUCUCCCUUCAAUCCUCCCCAAGACCGGCGGCCAUCGCGCGUCUCGUCCCCAACUUCCGCCGCUUUCCCCCAUCCUCCCCAAUACCGGCGGCCAUCGCCCGCAUGGAUGACGACAACGAGUAGGCGUGGUCUG
rnacentral:lncRNA from 1 species